GUGCUUGCUUUGGCAGCACAUACACUAAAAUUGUUAUGAUAAAGAGAUUAGCAUCUUCUUGUGUAAGGAUGACAUGAAAAUUCAAGAAGCAUACUAUAUUUUU